CUGCCAAUGAUGACACCACACUAACUGAGCAGUUAGUAGUUGGUCCUUUGAUUGCAUGUGAUGUAAUCAUUGUUUCAAGACGGGACUGAAGGCGG
rnacentral:snoRNA from 1 species